UCAGUUUCUGGACAAUGCCCUCUGAUGAC
rnacentral:piRNA from 1 species